rnacentral:lncRNA from 1 species
CUCGCCGUUGCACGUGUUGGAGUUGCUCCUACACAUCACCAAUUUACCAUUGAGAGUAUAAUAUACGUACUCUCGUCUCGGGGGCUGCAACCCUCCAACGAUACGAUGCGAUACUCUCCAGCUUUACUUGUACUCGUGCUACUCCCCAACACGUAAACUGUCUCGUCGAGCGGAGUAGUGGUACUGGUAGUACAUCCUUUUCACUUCAGAGACCGGCUGUCCGUCACUGCGUGGCCAGCCAGUCAUUUCCUUCUCCGGCCAAUGGACAAUAGACAAAGAAGCGGUACCGUCGCUAGCACCGCAGCUCGCAGUCGCAGGCCAUGUGGUGGUGCGAAACUGACGGUGCUACGGUCGUCCUCCGCCCUACCAGUUGCUGCGUGCGUUUCCGGCAUUGCACCC